UUUGUUCGGAAAUUUGAAAAA
rnacentral:piRNA from 1 species